UUUUCCCUUCUGCUAUUUGUUUUAUAUUCUCGAAGUUAUUUUUCCCAUUUUUACAUUAAGUGUUCUCUAUAUUAUCUCAAGGUCAAUUUCAUCUAAACCACCAUUGCUAUUUGUUUUAUAUUCUCUAAGUUAUUUUCCCAUUUCUCCAUUAAGUCUCCUCUAUAUUAUCUCAAGGUCAAUUUCAUCUAAGCCACCAAGCUCGCCCAUUCCGCCUGACCCGUCCCGUCCUGUCUGGGUUCUGGGUUCGUCGCCAAAAGAACUCUGUGCGUGCGUGAGUGUGCGUGAGUGCGUGCGUGAUACGGCGACAUGAGAGAGAGGGAGAAGGAGAGAGAGAGAAAGAGAGAAAGAAGAAAAGAAAAAAGAGAAAGAGUUCGCUGGAAAAUGCAUUGUUGAUAUAUUCUCUACCUUGGAACGCGAUGGACUAACUCUUUUUAUAUAAUUUUUUUUUACAUAAUCAUUUCUUACAUAACUCAUUCGUGUGGAGUGGAACGUGAGGAAGAGGGUGAAAGUAUGUGGAUAUGAGGCGAGGAAGGUUAUGUGGUUACGUGGAAAAGUAUGAGGGAAUUGUGGUAUAAGGAGGAGGUUAUGUGGUGAGGAUGGUAGAACUAUAUGGGUAUGAGGCGAGGGAGGUUAUGUGGCUAUGUGGAGAGGUAUGAUGAAGUAUGUGGUAUGAGGGGGAGAAUAAGGACAGUAAAAGUCGAGGAAAAAGUAUCUGAACAAACACUCCAAUAAAAAGUAAGUUAUAAAAAGAAAGUGAAAAGAAGUAAAGGAAAUAAAGAAAGCAAGUAAAUAAAAAAGUAACUAAUGAUAUAUUAAAAGAAAAAAAUAA